rnacentral:rRNA from 1 species
CGGGCGGGUGAGUAAUGUCUGGGAAACUGCCUGAUGGAGGGGGAUAACUACUGGAAACGGUAGCUAAUACCGCAUAACGUCGCAAGACCAAAGAGGGGACCUUCGGGCCUCUUGCCAUCAGAUGUGCCCAGAUGGGAUUAGCUAGUAGGUGGGGUAACGGCUCACCUAGGCGACGAUCCCUAGCUGGUCUGAGAGGAUGACCAGCCACACUGGAACUGAGACACGGUCCAG